GAGCCAAACCGGCCAGGGCCAGAAUCUUUUUUUUAAUAUUCUUUACUAACUUGGGCUAUUUGGGAGAAUAAAGAAGACCAUACUCCACUGUGGGUUAUAUCACUAAAAAUAUAAUUCACUACUAUUUUGUAGCCUACACU